AUUUAUAUAAUUUAAAAAGAAUAGUGCGCUGAAAAUGCACAAGUGAUUAAUAAUCUGUAAAUA
rnacentral:tRNA from 1 species